rnacentral:lncRNA from 1 species
UUUUUUUUUUUUCAGAGAUAAAUAGCAUGCGAUCCGCUUCGUUUAUUUCAUAAAAAUAAAUUUUCGGUUCAAAAUUUUUUCAGGCCAACAAGAGUUUAGGUGUUUGACUUGAAAAAAAAAAAUAUAUAUAUAUAGAGAGAGAGAGAGAGCAUUUGUACUCUGAACUUUCUACUCAUUCAUCAAUUUUAAUUCAAUGAAUUGAAUAAAAAAGAGAAGAAAAAUUAGGAACAUAUAUAUAUUUAUAUAUAGCCUGACUAUAGUACUUUUAAUAAUAUCAAGCACUAGUUGCUUAUAAGUUUUUUACCAAUAGAUCUAUUCUUUUGACUAAUUCCACCCUCUUAAUUGGUCUAUUUCACAAACCACUCACGCAAUCCUACAAGAUCACUAUUAUUCUAAUUCUAUAAAAUUUUAUCAAAAGAUCAAAAAUCUACGAACACAAAUGACUUGAUACUUUUAAAAGUAUAACGAGUUUUCCACCGUUAAAUUUAACUCUUUGAUUAUUUUUAUCUGUUAGAUUAUACUAUUCAACCAACUACCCACUCGACCCUAGGGGACCCACAUCAUCCUAACCACACAUUUUUCAAUCCAAGAGCUAAAAAACUAAUAACACCAAUAAUUUGAUACUAUUGAUAGUAUUCCAACAUCAUCCUAACCGCACAUUUUUCAAUCCAAGAGCCAAAAAACUAAUAACACCACUAAUUUGAUACUAUUGAUAGUAUUCCAAUCUAGUUCUAUAUAUAUAUAUAU